CAGAGUUGUCUAGAGUAAAAAUAGAAGAGCAUGAGAUGAAAUGGAAGGAUAAAGAAGACCUUAACAAAACAGUAGAAAUGCUAUCCUCAGCAAAGGAUAGUGUUAAUAUAUAGAAGGAUAAGUCCAUCAUCCAUGUUAUCAUUUUUUCCAGGCGGCUAAUCCGAAGUGUGGACUACAAAAUCAUUGACUACAAGAUGACGGAUAUGGACAGAUAUUUGUGCCGUGAUGCUUUUGUUGAAUUCUCAAUUAUUUGAUAAAUGAGACUUUGUUUUUAUCAUAAACAAUUGGGUGAUGCAUGACAAAACUCUAUCCAAAGCGUGGUUUGCUUCAUUAAUGUAUGAAAGACUCAGAAAUUGGUGUGUUGUGAUUGUGAAGCUUUCAUUCAACAUUUGUGUGGUUUGCUUAAUUGUGUUAUAAAGAUUAUUAAUUAGUUCAAUGAGAUUGGUCACAAUUGACCAUGGAGUUCUUGAUAAUUGUAUGAAACAAUAUUCAUUUUUAUGAUC